ACACUUACCUGGAAGGGAAGAUACCAUGAUCAUGAAGGUGGUUUUCCCAGGGCGAGGCUUGUCUGUUGCACACUUCGAGAACCAUUUACUUGUAUUACUGCUAAAACAUCUGAAAUGUGUCUCUCCUUUUGCCAAUCAUGGCUUCUUUCUUCCUUCCUUAGAGCUGCAGCUCUAA
ensembl:snRNA U1 U1 spliceosomal RNA